rnacentral:lncRNA from 1 species
UAUGUGACCCACUUGAAAGGCAGGGCAAGAUGAGUGUAAAUUGGAAGAGAGUAUAAAAGGCAAUGAGGGAGAAGAAAUAACAGUGGAAAUUCACUCCCGGCUGGAUACAAGAUGGGAUGACCUGGGGACACUGUGUGCCUCUGGAGGUGCUGUGCCAGGGCAGGGAGCUGGUGUGUGUGGUUGUAACAGCUUCUGAUGUGCUGCGUGAUUCAGUUAUACAUACAUGAAUUCUUUUUCAUGUUCUUUUCCUUUGUGGUUUAUCAAAGGAUAUUGAGUGUCGUUCUUUGCAGAGAUAAAAGUGGCUUGGUCCAGACGGGCAGCCGUGGAGACAGGGACAAAUUAUAAGGGUUGCGUUUGGAAAGCUGACCUCUAGGAUUUGCUGAGAGAAUGCAGUUUGGGGCUUGGGAAAGGGGGGAGGAUUCAAGAACAGCUCCCAGGUUUGGGCUUUGCUAAGUGGCUGGUGGGUAUCUUUCCCACGAUGGGGAAGACGGAAGGUGAAGGGGGGGCAGGGCUGGGAGAAACCUAGAGUUCAGCUUGCAGGUUGGGAGGUGUGAAAUACCCUCCAGUGAGCUGUGCUGAAUGUCUUCCAUCUGACCCUCUCAAUAACUCUCCCUUGCUUUCCAUCAGGCUCUGAAUGAUAGGAGACAGACAAUGGCUCAGUGGGCCUCCUCGCCCUCUGUCUUCCAGUUGGUUCUCCAAAAGAAAAGUCCAGAACAUGGGAGAGUGGAAGCAGGCUGUGUACUGCCCUGGCUCUUUUCCUGUUGUCCUGCAAGUGUAGACUCCAUUCCUCCUCCAGGGGCCCUAGUUUUUGAGGCAGAUCCAUUCCUCCGCUACUGUCUCUAUCACUGCACGUGGCCCUUCUCUUUCCUUUAACCCUCUCAGGCUGAGGAUGUAAGUAUCAUCAACCUCUUGUCCCUUGUUGGGUUUUUUCCUGAACGCUGCCUGUGCUGUUGUCCUUUUAUUUUUUUUUUAAAAAAAUGCUUAAGUGACCUAAAUCUUCACAAAUUUGAUCAUCAUACACAAGUUUUUGCUGCCAGGUACCUGAGGGAUACAAGAGGGACCUGGAAAGGGCAGCAGACCCUCAGAGCAGUGGGGAAUUAGAGCAAGGAGGUAAGCCCCAAGUUCAAGGUUGAAGGGUCCUGUGUUUAUCAGUGGCACUGCAAGUCAUAACACUGGGUUAGCUCAUCCUGGUAAAUUUUUCCUGACCCCUUCGGAACCCCUUACAACAGGGCUCAGUGCUUUUUCUCUGGCCAGGGAAUGAGCACAGGGGCCCACUCCCUUCCUUCCCGUCUUCUUCCUCAGCGCCUCUAACAAAGACAGUGUCAGGCUAUUCGCCGCGUUCCCCUCCCAAACUGCCAUUUCAAGUCAGAGUUUUACCAAAGUCAUUAUCUCUUUAAUUUGCUCCCCAAGAUAUUAGCUCACAAACAAGUGGCGCCUGCGAAUGGGAUUGAGCUGUGUGUUUUUGUCUGCUUUGUUUUCAAAUGCAUUUUUCUUCUUGAGGGCAGUGGUUGCAUUGACAAAAUUCCAUCUGGGAUUGGAGUUUCCAUCGUGGCGCAGGGGAAACGAAUCCGACUAGGAGCCAUCAGGUUGCAGGAUUGAUCCCUGGCUGCGCUCAGUGGGUUAAGGAUCUGGCAUUGCCGUGGCUGUGGCAUAGGCUGGCAGCUGCAGCUCUGAUUAGACCCCUAGCCUGGGAACCUCCAUAUGCCAUGGGUGCGGCCCUAAAAAG